GACGAACGCUGGCGGCGUGCCUAAUACAUGCAAGUCGAGCGAAGUUUUUCUGGUUCUUGCACUAGCACAACUUAGCGGCGAACGGGUGAGUAACACGUAAAGAACCUGCCUCAUAGACUGGGACAACUAUUGGAAACGAUAGCUCAUACCAGAUAACAGUAUUUCUCGCAUGAGAGAUGUUUAAAAGUUCGUUAUGCUAACACUAUGCGAUUGCUUUGCGGUGCAUUAGCUAGUUGGCUGGGUAAAGGCUCACCAGGGGGCCGAUGGAUAGCCGACCGGAGAGGGGGAUAGGCCACAUGGGAAGGGGGACAGGGCCAAGAGGACUAAGGGAGGCAGCAGUAGGGAAUCUUCGGCAAUGGGGGAAAGUCUGACGGAGCAAGGGCGCGUGAGUGAAGAAGGAGUUCGGUGCGUAAAGCUCUGUUGUGAGGGAAGAAUGGAUAUGUAGUAACAAGAAAUGUAAGAGACGGUACCUAACCAGAAAGCAACGGCUAACUACGUG
rnacentral:rRNA from 1 species